rnacentral:misc_RNA from 1 species
CAGUGCCAUCUACCGCCAUAUACCAAGGUAGCUCUCUUUAUAGUAUUCAAUUUAUGUUGUCUUCACAGUACCAUAGGGUCAAAACGUGCGACGACGUUGUAAGUAUAAAGCUAUUUUAAACACUUUCUAUCAUAUUCCGAAACGACAGAAUUAAAAAUUGAGGGCAAUGUCUUAUAAUUUCGAACAAAUUCUCCAAUGAAACUCGAGAAGGUGAAAUCUACAAGUUAACUCUUUUUGCGCUGUACAUUCUAUUGACUCUUUUCUAAAUUUUUGCAUGUUUCAGUUUAUUUAAAGAUCGAUUUUCAAUAUAUGUCUGCAUAAUAUUAGAUGCUGUUGUUUAAGGUCAUCUCUAAAGAUGUACGAUAAUUAAUUUCUCUGAGAAUGCUAUAAUUGUUACUGUUAAUUUUAGAUCUUAUAUAAAAUAUUGUUCACUGACGACUUGUUUAGUUAACCUUAAAAAACACAGCAACUUCUUCUUACUCCAAUUGUUCCGUUGUUAUAAGAUCUUAUAAACGAGGUCUAUUAUAUAACUAUUUUCCAUUUUGUUUCUUAGAUGCUAUGUUUAAAGAUAGUCAGUAAAAAAUUUGCUAUAGUUUACUUUUCUGAAAAACAUUGUUCAUAGAUGUUAAUUUACGAACUUCUCUCAAAUUUUAUUGUUAAACACCUUGUUUAGUUAACCUUAAAAAGUCUUCAGAGUUCGAUUGUUUCUUAACGCGUUGACAUUUGAAAACAGGGCUAUUAUAUAAAUAUUCUUUGUCUUUUUCUUUAAAUCUCUUAAUUAUCCUUCUUAUUUGUUUAUGAAAUUAUGUAAUUUACUUGGAAACGCUAAACCUUCAACUUGUUAAUGAAUAUGAAUUUCGAUUUUUUUUGGAAAUUGUAAUGUUCUAUAGCGGAAAAUCGCUCCACAUCUGGUUUUCUUUCGUAUAGGAAUUUUAUCGAUCAUAUCUCAAAACCAAACAAUGUUAUGCAAAGUUUUUUCUUGUCCUAUUACUAUGUUAAAUAUAAUUUUAUGUGUCAGUGAAGCUUUAGUACUAUCGUUAUCAGGUUUUUCAAGGACAAUUUGUGAUUAAAAUCUUUUUUUUGUAGCAAAAUAUGGAUGCUAAAAUACUGAAAAAAAAAUGCUCAAGAUCAACUGAUUCAUGGAAUCUCGAAGUGUCUACUAUUGCAAAGAACACCUUCAAUCCCAUAAGAGCACUAGUAGACCAAAUGAAACUUACUCCUAAUCCCGAGAAAUCUAUGAUCGCUUUGUCAAUUGGCGAUCCUACUGUUUUUGGUAAUUUAAAACCGGCAGAUAAUGUUGUUCAAGCAAUUGUAGAUUCUGUAAAAUCGGAAAAAUGGAACGGUUAUCUACCUUCGAUAGGCGCCGAAUCAGCUAGAGAUGCCGUUGCCCAAUAUGCGAGGAGAGAGAAUGCACCUUUAACAGCUAAGGACGUGAUCCUUACCUCUGGUGCAUCGGGAGCAUUAGAUAUCUGCAUAACAGCCUUGGCUAAUCCAGGCGAUAAUAUACUUGUUCCAAAACCAGGCUUUUCUUUGUAUAAAACCCUCGCAGAUUCUCUAGGUAUUCAGGUUCGUCACUAUAAUUUACUUCCCGAUAAAGGUUGGGAAGUAGAUACCAAUCAUUUAAUAAGUCUUUUAGACGAAAGAACGGCAGCAAUUGUAUUGUGUAAUCCAUCGAAUCCUUGCGGUUCGGUCUAUUCUAAGAAACACUUAGAAACAGUUUUGGGAGUUUGUGAGGAGUUUAAGUUGCCCGUUAUUGCGGAUGAAAUUUAUGCCGAUUUUACUUUUCCGGAUCAAACGUUUCAUUCCAUGGCAAGCGUGAACCAGAAUAUUCCGAUAUUAUCUUGUGGUGGUCUAACUAAACGCUGGCUUAUACCGGGCUGGAGAAUGGGAUGGAUUUGUAUUAACGAUACCCAAAACAAAUUUCCCGAAUUACGAAAAGGGCUUGUGGCCCUAUCUCAGAGGAUCUUAGGACCUAAUUCUGUUACACAAGGCGCUUUAGAGUGUAUUCUAAUGAAUACUCCUCAAGAGUUUUAUGAUUCAACUUGUCAAACUGUUGCCAGACAUGCAAAGAUCUUAUACGACAUCUUCUUGGAAUGUCCCGGCCUAAAGCCUGUUAUGCCACAGGGAGCCAUGUACAUGAUGGUUGGAAUCAACCUAUCAUCUUUCCCAGACUAUAAAAAUGAAGUUGAAUUUACCGAAAAUUUAGUAACAGAACAGUCUGUGUUCUGUUUACCUGCUUCCUGUUUUCAGUAUCCAGGAUAUUUCAGAGUUGUUCUAACGGUCCCUGAAAAUAAACUUCUAGAAGCAGGGAAUAGAAUUCGUCAAUUCUGCUAUGAUCACUUUUCAAAAGAAAGGAAUGGCAAAUCAUCGUAGAUUUGGAAUGAAAAUAAGUUUUUGUCCAGUUUAGUUAAUUUUUCAUUGUUUGUUUUCUUUGCGUACUUUUAUAUAAAAUAGUACGAUUAGGAUUUGAUUGUUAUGGUACAACAUGCUUUAAAGCACAUUGUGUCCUCCCUUCUGAAACGAAAUUAAUAUUUGCUUGAAAUCUAAAAUAAAACAGUUUUAAUUACAAUUAUGUACAUUUACUUUAAAUGCUCUGCAAUAUGGUGUUUUAACUUACCCCAUUGUUUUAUAACUAUGCAAUGUUAAAAGAUAUAGCAUAAACCUCUAAGUUUUGUUCAGAUAUAUUCUCAUUUCAAUAAAUUGUUUAGAGAGGUUACGCGAGUGUUUCUGUUAUUUUUGCGACCUAUUAAACUUUCAUUUAUUGUCUUUCAAAGUCAAAUUUAGCAAGGACAAUCACG